UUACUGCUCAGUAACACGUAGCUAACCUAACUUAAGGUCUCGGAUAAUCUCGGGAAACUGAGAAUAAGCCGAGGCAUGUGACAGCAACUGGAAUGUGCUGUCAUUGAAACUAGCGGCCUUAAGAUGGGGCUGCGGCUGAUUAGGUAGUUGUUAGUGUAAUGGACUAACAAGCCAAUGAUCAGUAAGGGCUCUUAACGGAGAGGCCCUGAGAGGGACUCUGAGACACUAGUCCCAGCUCUACGGAGUGCAGCAGGUGCGAAAAUUUUCCAAUGCGCGAAAGCGUGAGAAAGGAAUCCAAAGUGCUUUUACAUUUGUAAGAGCUUUUCUUUGCUGCAAAAAAGCAGAGGAAUAAGGACUGGGCAAGACUGGUGCCAGCCGCCGCGGUAAUCCCAGCGGUCCAAGUGGCAGCCACAUUUAUUAGGUCUAAAACAUUCGUAGCCUGUCCCGCAAGUUCUUUGUGAAAUCUUCUGGCUUAACCAGAAGGCGUGCAUUGAAAACUGCGAGACUUGGGACUGGGAGACGCAAGAAGAACAGUCAGGGAAGCGGUAAAAUGUUUUAAUCCUGGCUGGACUAACAACAGCGAAGGCAUCUUGCGAGAACAGCUCUGACGGUGAGGAAUGAAGGCCAGGGGCGCAAAAUGGAUUAGAUACCCAUGUAGUCCUGGCUGUAAACACUGCACACUAAACAUUGCUCUCUCCUCGAGAGGGGGCAGUGCUGCAGCGAAGGCGAAGAGUGUGCUACCUGGGGAGUAUAGUCGCAAGACCGAAACUUAAAGGAAUUGGCGGGGGAGCACAAUCGAANU
rnacentral:rRNA from 1 species